GUAAGCCAAAACUCAAAUUUUGAUCUUACCUAAGAGGGGUAGCUCCUCACAUGGUCAGCAAUUUAUAUAUAUAAUAUUACAUAAAAAAAAGUCCAACGUGGCAUAUUUUCUAUAUGACUAUAUCUAGUUAUAUAUGGCAUGUUUAAAGCAAGUGGGGUUAUGUUAGGUAGCUAGGUUAAUCAUAGCACAGUUGAAUAUAUGCUCAACUUACCUCUAUCUCUUCUCCCACUCUCUUUUGUCUGUUUCACUCAACUCUCUUCCUCUUCUGCACUGAGAGGAGAACAUAUUCAUAUUUUAUUAAUCAAUUGUCCUCUUAAUUUAAUUAAACACACUAAGCUAGCUAGUAGUAUAUACACUGCCUCUUCAAGAAUAUUCCUCAAUUUUAUUAAUUUUUUUUCAUUUUUUGUGAAAAAAGCUUUCUUCACGUGUGAUUAGUUAAGCAUAAUUUUCAUUUUUUCUUACAAUUUUAUUUUAUUUUAUUUUCCUAUUAUUAUUCUCACAGUUCCAAGGGUUAUUGACUUAUUUUGUUUAUUUAUUUACGAAGUUAUUUCCUAUAUAUGUUUAUUUCCAUAAUUAUAUUCGAGUUUUAAAAGCUAUUUUUGGGAACGAAGUAGGUGUCGUUGCAGGUCUAACAAGUAAGAAUAAUUAUUUGUCCUCGUCAACAAUUACAAUUAGUACAAUGUGGGUUCUAUGUUAUGAGGAUGAUGAAGGACUUCGUGACAAAUGAGUUUUCAAUGCGAUGGCUAACUAGUAAUUGUGGCGGGAAGAACUAUUACACAAAGGAUGAGAUCAAUGAAGUACGUGAAGAAUGGACACAAUGCGUCAUGGAUUUGAUGAGUACUACAUAGGUCCACUCACUUUUGUUAACUUAGACUUUUAAUGAGAUAUACUUACAAUGUUAACUUAGACUUUCUUGAAGAUAUACACACUUUUGUUGCCUAACUAUAGUUUACAAUGCUUAUGUGAGUCAUUUUGUAAUUAACUUAAGACUCGUUAUUUUAGAUACUUAGUUCAAA